AGUUUUUACGAUUGUAUCUAUCUGACUGACGCACGUGCACAAAAGCAUGUGUCGUCGGUAAGAAGUAAGAAGUUCGUUUGCGCGCGAAGAGUGUUGCGUCUUUAAAUGCAUCAUUUAUCGUCAGCAAACGAACUCGAUGAUUUACCGAACACCAUCGAGAUCAACUUCGAUUAGUAUCGCAGCAAAUUUUGUUAAUAUGGUGCGUAGAAUAAAAUUUCAAAUAUUAUAGUAUGUUAAGUCACACGAUAGGAGAAAGAUGGAUUUUUCGAUAAUACCAUAAAUGUAGUUUAUUAAUAAAUCAAAUGUAAUUACGUGAAGCCAAUGUGAAGUAACCUGUGCAGUUGAUAAUCUUCGCCUGAAAAUAUGGAAAACGUUGGAAACCUAAAAAAAAGAGCGAGCUACUUAAAAGUAUACGGGUAGAUUUAUUUCUUUAUAUCAUCGAUCAACGAUCUCUUCAUGGAGAGCUUAUUUCUACCGUUAUAAGGAACAAUUCACGGACGAAUAUUACGCAAUUAUCAAAAUUAGAGUUUCCAGGUGUAAUCUACAGAGUGAAAUAAAAAAUUAAAAACCCAUUUCUGCGUCGGCAGCUUUCAAGGGUAGAAGAUGCAUAUUCUCGCGAUGCAAAUACGUGUUUGUCAAUUUGCUUGGAAUGCGAGGAAGGUGUCCGAGGUAUGUUCGUCGACUGUUGAACGCAUCGACGGAUAUAUCAGCUUACCAACAAUACGAUCUUUGUAAUAAAAACACGCUACAAUGCAGGAUGGCAAUUACGAGACAAAAGAAAACGAUAAAAAUCAAUCAGAGGUCACCGAUUCGAGAUCACAAAUACGCAAUAAGUAGCAGUUCGAAGGGUCUCGGUGUGGGCCGAAAAAACCGGUUUCAGGUAAUGAUGGACUACCUACUUGCAGCCCAGUCAGGCAGAUUAUAAUGAACUUUUUUGGUGUAAAUAACUAGCGAUGGGCUUAAGUACGUCGCGAGUAAGGUGGAACAUUGAUCGACUAGAUUCGAGCCUUCUAUAAGUAAAUAUUUGUCUGAUUCGGAUUUGUAACAUACGUAUUCCACUUGAUCCCAUCACUAUCAAUAACCUGGCCGCAGAUUUUUCAACCAAGUAAGUUCUUUCAGUGAACGUAGAAUCGGGGAUGCAACGUGAUAAACCUGUUGUGAAAAAAAUGCCACGGUAUUUCGCUGCAGAAUCUUCGUUCGUUUAUCGACCCUGUGACUAAGGAACUCGAAUCUAAAGCGACAAAAAAUUAAUUAUCCGAUGAAUUUGCAACUUUACACGCGCAUCCCAUAUACAUUCCUUUACCUUCGUUAUUGGAGUUAUAAUCUCUAUUAUAAUUUUAUUUACGGUAAUAAAUUCAAAUUGAAAUGCG